rnacentral:tRNA from 1 species
GGCCAGUUAGCUCACUCGGUUAGAGCAUGGCGCUGACAACACCAAGGUCAUGGGUUUGAUCCUCAUUCGGUCCC